CCAAAACAGGCAGAGUGGGUGGAGCUGGGCAUUGGAGCUUGAGGGUAAGCUGGGUUUGUCUGAGGGGCUCUGUCUUCCAGGAGCUCACCUUUUCAAAAGGUGUGAGGGAAGGAAGGAGGCUAUAGGCCCAAUAAGCAGUUGGCAUUUCCUGACAAUUGUUUCAAACACAAAGCCAGCAGGAGCUGCUCCCAGCGAGCCCCGCUUCUCCCCAUAAUCUAGCCUUGGGUAACAGGCUUCUCCCAGGAGAUCACUGUUCUCAGUCCCUGGCAAGAGCUGGCCCCAUGGGGAGUGCUUUGUUGAUAGUGCCCAGUGCCCAGCAACCAGGCUGGGUUUGGGAAGGAGGCUGGAGUCUUCAGGAGGAAGGUCCUGCCCAAGAUGGUGCAGAGGGCCCAGACUCGCCAACUCUGCCACCCCCUCAAUUUGGCAGGGGCUCUUAUCUCAGAAGCUGCUGGAAGAAUUUGGCAUUUUGACCCUAUUUCAUCACUCCUAGGGCAGUCUGGCAGACAAAGAUGCUCCACACAGCAGCUGAGCUCAUUCACAGAAGCACCGCACACACACAAGGCCCCUCCAAAGUGGUUCCCAUGGAUGCUCCUCUCCUCGCCUCCACACAGGAGAGGAAUGAACCUUGUUCCCAGCUGGAACCCCUCUCUGGAUUCCAGGUUUCCCCACCUGUUCUCGAGGUCCUGAUCCCAGGCCACGCUGGGACCCUUUCUCCAGUUCCAUCUUUGCUUCUUCCUGUGCCUUCCCCACCUUCUUGCAGCCCCUGGAACACAUCCCUGGAACAGCUUAUUCACCCCCACACAACCUUGAGUAGAUAAAGGCCCACAAAGGUAUUAGAGACUUCGUGUCAUCCUUUGAGCAAGGGGCUUGACCCCAAGUGCCCACCCCAAAACGCCUGUGGUAAUGGUGACACCAUAGGUGCCAUUCUGGGGAAGGGAGAGAGUGAGGGUGGAGGAUGUCAUCCCCAUAGUGGCAGGGCAAGAGACAGGUCCCCGCCCCAGGCAUCUUGGGCAGGUGGCUCCAGGUUCCGUUCU
rnacentral:lncRNA from 1 species